rnacentral:rRNA from 1 species
UACGGAGGGAGCUAGCGUUAUUCGGAAUUACUGGGCGUAAAGCGCACGUAGGCGGCUUUGUAAGUAAGAGGUGAAAGCCCAGAGCUCAACUCUGGAAUUGCCUUUUAGACUGCAUCGCUUGAAUCAUGGAGAGGUCAGUGGAAUUCCGAGUGUAGAGGUGAAAUUCGUAGAUAUUCGGAAGAACACCAGUGGCGAAGGCGGCUGACUGGACAUGUAUUGACGCUGAGGUGCGAAAGCGUGGGGAGCAAACAGGAUUGAG